rnacentral:rRNA from 1 species
UACGGGGGGGGCAAGCGUUGUUCGGAAUUACUGGGCGUAAAGGGCUCGUAGGCGGCCAACUAAGUCAGACGUGAAAUCCCCAGGCUCAACCUGGGAACUGCGUCUGAUACUGGAUGGCUUGAAUCCGGGAGAGGGAUGCAGAAUUCCCAGUGUAGCGGUGAAAUGCGUAGAUAUUGGGAGGAACACCAGUGGCGAAGGCGGCUCACUGGACCGGUACUGACGCUGAUGCGCGAAAGCGUGGGGAGCAAACGGG